rnacentral:rRNA from 1 species
UGGGGGAAUAUUGCACAAUGGGCGAAAGCCUGAUGCAGCAACGCCGCGUGAGUGAUGAAGGCCUUCGGGUUGUAAAGCUCUGUCUUUUGGGACGAUAAUGACGGUACCAAAGGAGGAAGCCACGGCUAACUACGUGCCAGCAGCCGCGGUAAUACGUAGGUGGCAAGCGUUGUCCGGAUUUACUGGGCGUAAAGGAUGCGUAGGCGGAUUUUUAAGUGAGAUGUGAAAUACCCGGGCUUAACUUGGGUGCUGCAUUUCAAACUGGGAAUCUAGAGUGCGGGAGAGGAGAAUGGAAUUCCUAGUGUAGCGGUGAAAUGCGUAGAGAUUAGGAAGAACACCAGUGGCGAAGGCGAUUCUCUGGACCGUAACUGACGCUGAGG